AGCGGGGUAGGGGAAUGGUACCCCAUCUGGCUCAUAACCAGAAGGUGCACGUUCGAGUCGUGCCCCCGCUA
rnacentral:tRNA from 1 species